rnacentral:sRNA from 3 species
GUUCGAUUCGAGCGAAAGCGAGAAAGCGUUGCCGCAGGCAACGACCCGAAGGGCGAAACGCGCAGCGCUGAGUCAUCCUUCCCCCACCACCA